AAGACUAUACUUUCAGGGAUCAUUUCUAUAGUUCUUUACUAGAGAAGUUCCUCUGAACGUGUAGGGCACCCGAAACCACGAGGAGGAGGUGCAGUGUUCUUUCCUGAGCGUGAAGCUGGCUUCAGAUGCUGUUUUCUUGCAGCUGUUUGGUGCCAUUGAUGAUCGUUCUCCUUUCUCUUUGGGAAAGGUAGAGGGAAAGAACACAAUCUGAGUGGU
rfam:Erinaceus europaeus unplaced genomic scaffold scaffold00654, whole genome shotgun sequence